GGGGUGUGCUCAGAGCAGGGGGCCUGAAGAAAUGGCUCCUCUGUUCACAAUACACCCAACAAGAAUCUGGGUUCAUUGCAACAAAGGGCACAGAACUUGUGGCCUUCCUAUGACCAGAUGCCCUAUAUGU
ensembl:snoRNA